UGUAACGAGGUCCACAACUGUAGCUGUAACGAGGUCCACAACUGUAACUGUAACGAGGUCCACAACUGUAACUGUAACGAGGUCCACAACUGUAGCUGUAACGAGUGCUGCCACUGUAACUGUAACGAGUGAUGCCACUGUAACUGUAACGAGGUCCACAACUGUAACUAACGAGUGCUGCCACUGUAACUGUAACGAGUGCUGCCGCUGUAACUGUAACGAGGUCCACAACUGUAACUGUAACGAGGUUUACAACUGUAACUAACGAGUGCUGCCACUGUAACUGUAACGAGGUCCACAACUGUAACUGUAACGAGUGCUGCCACUGUAACUGUAACGAGGUCCACAACUGUAGCUGUAGCGAGAGCUGCUGCACAGUAGCCUAGCUACACUGUCAGGUGUAUCGUACACUUGCGUCGCCAUCGCAAUUAAAGUCGCCAUCCUCUCAUGUAGGCGCAAGAGAAUCCUGUUCUUUUUUGUACAAAUAAUAUAAAAAAACUUGAAGUAUGUCCAAAAACAUGUAAUGAGCCUUUUUCGCCAAUAAAAUAAUAGUUUGUAGGUACUUCUUAUGCAUAUUGCGUGUGGCUUAAUAAUAACAAUGUUAAUAAAAUGAACAAGAUUAUUGUUAA